AACGAACGCUGGCGGCAUGCCUAACACAUGCAAGUCGAACGAAACCUUCGGGUCUAGUGGCGCACGGGUGCGUAACGCGUGGGAACCUGCCCUUAGGUUCGGAAUAACUCCCCGAAAGGGGUGCUAAUACCGGAUAAUGUCUUCGAACCAAAGAUUUAUCGCCUUUGGAUGGGCCCGCGUUGGAUUAGCUAGUUGGUAGGGUAAAAGCCUACCAAGGCGACGAUCCAUAGCUGGUCUGAGAGGAUGAUCAGCCACACUGGGACUGAGACACGGCCCAGACUCCUACGGGAGGCAGCAGUGGGGAAUAUUGGACAAUGGGCGAAAGCCUGAUCCAGCAAUGCCGCGUGAGUGAUGAAGGCCUUAGGGUUGUAAAGCUCUUUUACCCGGGAUGAUAAUGACAGUACCGGGAGAAUAAGCUCCGGCUAACUCCGUG
rnacentral:rRNA from 1 species